UCUGUGAUUACAUCAUUAACUUGAUAAAUUAAUAAGGCUGUUGCCUAAAAGUUGGUCAGAUUCUCAGCUUUUAGUUGGAAUUUAAUACAUAUUUUUACUAAAACAGCCUUAAAUGAAUAUUGGUUUUCUUACACAAUAAAAUUGCUGUUUUGAUCUCUGUUUUACAGAGCACUAACAUCAAUAAUUCAGAGAAAUUAAUGGAUGUCCCUUCUGUAUUUCAUGUUGUUUCCUGUUUUGUCAUUAGGUAACAACUCCCCCUAAGGCACAGUUUUUAAACUUCCAAUCCAGCUUGUGCCUUUCUUCCAGAUCUGUAAUUGCAGAUCCUUUUCAAUUUUGUAUUUUUCAUGCCCAGACCUGUGCCCAUGAUAAGAGCCCUGUGUGUAACAUUCCCAACCAUCAGAAGAGAUCUUGCUACUGUGAUUUUAUCCAUUAAUCAGUUUUAUAUGACCUCCUGCUCGCCUGGCUUUUCAAGGUGUGAAAAUUUGCACUGCAGAGGAAUUUUAUGGAUUGCAACCCUAAUUUUUGGAGUAAAAUUCCAAAUAACUGGUCUGGUUAGAAAGCUUUGGGCAGAAUUUUCAGGUUGCUGUGAAUUGCUGUUAAGCCUGUGUUGCCUUUUGGCUGGAAGUACAUCCCAAUUAGUGACCCUUCCAUCGAGCAGUAGCAGCAGAGAAGCGAUUUGGAUUUUUUUUUCAAGUCAGUUGUAAAUGAUUAGUCCAAAAGAGUAGCAUAAAACUGCGAGUCCCCUGCAGGAGUCGGCUGGAGGAAAUUAAAGGAUCAACAACAGAAGGGAAGCACUGAGGUAGGAUUGUUCCAGGCUGCAGCCACAGGCUUUCACAUGCACUCAGGAAAUUGGCUCCAUCAAAAGCUGAGGAUGCAGGAGUGAGGAUGAGGAGGAUCAUGCAGGUGAUGGUUCUAAAUCAUGGCUCAAGAUCCCAGCGUUUUCCAAGGGAGAGGUUUCCUCCCCUCCCCGAAAAAGCAGCGUUUUCCAGGUAAAAAUGGAAUCUUCUCCUUAUGAAUCAAUGAAAGUUCGGCAGAAAUGUGAGCUAUAAAUCUGAUAGAACUCAAUAAAUAACAAAGAUUUGGUUUCCUCAAAAUAAGAUCAGUUGGAUGGGGAUUUUUACUGUGCUGUGCACUGUGUUUGUGUGUGAGAGAGCUGUGAAACCAAUGACUUGGGAGUGCUUGGCAGCCAGGUAAAGCUUUUCCUUUAAAGUCUAAAGUAAAUUCAUUCUGCAGAAAUUUGCAUCUUCUGGGCCUGGGAUGAAGCUGAAACCUUGCUGGUGGAGCAGGAAAGGAUCACAGGAGGGGAAAUGCAUAAAUCUCCAUCUGGAGCCAAGUAUGCUGGGAAGGAGAUGGGGGAGCAGGAGAGCCAGAGCAGGCUGAGAGAGCGUGAAAUUCCAAAGGAAAAGUGGAAGAAAGAAAGAGGAAUGUCCCAGGAAUGAAGCUCUUCUAAUGCUCAAUACUUUCAUCAGAAGUAAACCACUGGAAAGCUGUAAUCCAAAUAAGGAAAUUAGAGCAAAAAUUAACAAUAUUCAGCUAUUCAGAUGUCAAAAGAACCAGCGGAGUUAUUGGUGUUAGAGGUUAUUGCCAGAGGGGAAAACUCAGCAUGUCCUGGGUAAUUAAGCUUCAUUGGAGAGCAUGGAUCCCUUCUCCAGAAGAAAGCAUGAUUCAUUGAAAUGGUGCACUCCAGUAUCUGUGGAAAGGAAAACUGGGAAGGACACAAAAGAAGCUCAGCUGUGGAAAACCAAUUCAAGGAGCCACUGCCACACAAAGGAUCUCAAUCCACAAGACCUGUUUUUCAAGCUGUGAGAAGCAUGGCUGUGUUACCCAUAGGAUGAGAAGAGAAGCAGCAAAAAGAAGACCCGGUUCCAAAGGUGGGCUGGGGCUCAGGAGGGCAAUUUCCAUCCUGGAGGUACCUUGCUGCAACUCUUUGUAAAUCCACUGUGACACCUGACCUGGCGUUCCCAAAAGGGCUCAGACAGGAACAUUUGCUGGCCAUGACCAGGAAAAGGAUCUUCCUGGCAGGAAUGGGGGCUUGGAGGCCACAAACACCCAGCAAGGUGCCACGAAGCCCCAAGGGCACCACUUUCCCUUGCUGUUACCCCAACCAUUUCUCAGUGAGGCUGAGCAGCCCGUGCCAGGUUUAAAUUUAAUUUUGGUUUAAGUAGGACACAGGCUGGGCUGUCCUGCCCAGUGCUGGUGCAAGGAGAGGCUGUGAACCCUGUGAUGAAACCACCACCUAAACCCCAGCAUCUGCAGGGAGGUUUUAUAGGCAUUUCUCUCUCGUGGCAGUGUUUUCACAGUAAAUAAGGUUCAUGUUGGACAAGGUUUUGUGCUUUGUUUGUACCACUCCCAGUAUUUUAUUUUCUUUCAUUUUUAAUCUUGAUCCUGUUCUUUGCAGAGAGCAAUUCAGUUUAAAACGUGAUGUUUUCUAUCAGCAAGUCACAGGCUCAUGGUUUCUCUUCCAGCCUGCUAUCACAGGAAUAAAACCCCUCCAAUCACAUUGAAUUUAGGCUGCCUCUUGUCACAGUCAAGUGCAUGGCACCUCCUUAGAGCAGGUCCUUAAAUUAAAAUAUUGUAGAUUUUUUUGCUGUUGAAGCACUACUGCAGAAACAUGAGUGGCCAAGGAGAAAGGAGGGGUUUUUUUUCCCUCUGGCUGGAAUUUUUCACUAUAACCAUCCUCAGGGGAGUUCUCAUCUUCAAAAGAACCAUUCUUUCUAUACAAGCUGCAAAAAGAAUUAUUUAAUGACAUCAUAAAUUAAUACAGAGAGGCACAAAUUUUCCAAAAUGUGGAGAGAGAGAAAAAUAAAUUCAUGUUUGCCAAAAACACCCCAGCUCUUCCAGACUUAGGCCCCUCUUGAGCCUGCGAGCUGCCAAUGAUGCCAAAUUGAAUGGUGGGGCUUUUGGCAGGACUGAAGUUUAGCUUGUUUAAAUUUUGGCAAAUUUUCCUAUUACUCACAUUCUCAGCAAGCUGAUACAAAUAUUUGUUCUAUUUAGAGGGAAGUCCAAGCUCAGUGCUGGCACCGAGUGCUGCUGGGCUUGGUGGAACUGAGGCUGCCUGAGCCAAUAUUAAAUUUGGACAUCUACCUUAAAGAAAAACAGAAUUAAAAAAUUCCCUGGGCCUUUUAGUACAGAUUAGAGCACAUCAAUGGAAAACGGUCCUCGUGUGUAUUCAGGUUUUUCUCACUUGCUAAUUUUUGCUUUAAUCUGAUUUGAAAUGGGCCCGGUUUCCCUGAGCUUGGAUUGCCAUUCCCGGCUGCAACUCCGGGGCUGGAAAAGCCUCCACACACAUGAACCUCCACAUUCUUGAGAAUUAAAAGCUGUUUAAACUGUAGUAAAUCAAACUGGGACACAGUAAGCACACUUGAUCUCUUUUAAAGCUGUGCAGGUUGUUGGGAUUUUUUUUUAGUGAUGUCCCCAGUUUAGUGUUUCUGAUUUGAAAAGCAAACAGAGUGGAUCCUCCAGGACACUCGGGAUUGCUGUGCUCUGGUUCUUCAUCCCUGGGAAUGAUCCUGCUCAGCCAGGAUCUCGAUCAGGAUCAGCACCUGCCGAGCCUUUCCAGGUGGGAAAAGCAGGAGAAACCAAAUGGAACCUGGGUGCCUCACCUGGGAGCCUUGGCUUGGGAUUGGGACUGGACACAUAACCCAGGUUAGAAAUCUUGCAAUGAAAACAAAGCAAACUGAAAAAGAACAACCUGUUUCCAUCCCAUAAAUGAAUAUAAUCAGCUUUUUUAUUUUUCCUGUGCUCAGGUUGAGUAGGAUUUGUAAUGUAAAUAAUUCAAUAUUGCCUGAAUGUUUUUGUCAAAGUCACACAGGAGGGGGAUCCCACUAACAUGACUUUUUAGUCAUUUGGAAAUGGGAAAUCUGCUUUAAGUGGCUGAACUGGAUUCCUCUGAGUGGAAAAAGAUCAUCACUGGAGAAUGAUUCAUCCCAUGUAAUCUCAGUGUCUGAUCUCUCUCCAGUGCCUAUAAAAGGAGCCCAGAUGACCAGAUUAGCAUAUGUCCAAAUUUUGCACAUUUUUAUGCUAACUCAGCCUUUCCCAAUCAGGUCCUGUGCUCACAAAUCUCCUGUGCUAUUUUUAUAAGGAAAAGCUCAUUAUUUGGCACAGGGAUUCCCAGGGCACUCGCUCAGCUCCAGUGGCUGCUUUGGGACAGAGCCUGGGCCGUGCCCUUUGCAAAGGCUGCCAGGUAAAACUUGCAUUAAUUCCAUGACCAAGCUUUCUCUACACCCCCUGCUGAAAGGUUCGGGGAUGAUUCUUACAGGAAUUAUUUUUUAAACUGCCUUAAAUCAGUAAAUACUGCAUGGAUGAGCAGAAGGUACAUGAAAAAUGGUUAAAAAUAGCAGCAGUGAUUGCUCAUUAAAAAUGGCAUUGUUAUUGUGUUGGUCACCUUUGUGAAACAGGCAGAAGAUCCAGGCAGCUUUUCCUUUGCACCCUGGGCUGCUGACCCCACUCAUUUUGGGGUUACAGUGGCAGCAUUUGUCUGGUUCAGUGUUGAUCCAGUGUCACGAUGAGAAAUGAACUGAGCACUUCAGAUUCUGGGCCGUGACACCCCCAGACCUCUCCCCCCUCCCUCCAACCUUUGAUUCUUUACCAUUGUCACUGUCACUGAGCUGCCCCUGGGCACAGGGACGUGGCUUUGGUGCUCUGCUGAUCAGUGGUGCUCUUAACUCGGUGCUCAGAUCAACUCACGUGUCCUCUAAAACAAACACCAGAAAAAUGCCAAAUAAACCCAAACCCCUGCCAUGGGCACCUAAAAUCCGAUGGUGGAGCUUUGAGAUGGUGAAAAAAGGGUCAGGUGUGCACCUUGGCAAGUGUGAGGUUGGUGAAGUCAGGCAGCAGGAGACAGAAGAGAGACGAGGCAUCUU